UAACCCCAAUGAUGUCAGCACUGGGCUCCGAUCACUGUGAUGAUUUUGGUGCCUUCUGGAGACUUGACACUCUAGGAGACUGAGGGGUUC
rfam:Anolis carolinensis unplaced genomic scaffold chrTn0095, whole genome shotgun sequence.